rnacentral:rRNA from 1 species
UACGUAGGGUGCAAGCGUUAAUCGGAAUUACUGGGCGUAAAGCGUGCGCAGGCGGUUUUGUAAGUCUGUCGUGAAGGCCCCGGGCUCAACCUGGGAAUUGCGAUGGAGACUGCAAGGCUUGAAUCUGGCAGAGGGGGGUAGAAUUCCACGUGUAGCAGUGAAAUGCGUAGAGAUGUGGAGGAACACCGAUGGCGAAGGCAGCCCCCUGGGUCAAGAUUGACGCUCAUGCACGAAAGCGUGGGGAUCAAACAGG